UUCUGGCUCAGGAUGAACGCUGGCGGCGUGCCUAACACAUGCAAGUCGAGCGAUUACUUCGGUAAAGAGCGGCGGACGGGUGAGUAACGCGUGGGUAACCUGCCUCAUACACAUGGAUAACAUACCGAAAGGUAUGCUAAUACAGGAUAAUAUAAGAGAUUCACAUGGAUUUCUUAUCAAAGCUCCGGCGGUAUGAGAUGGACCCGCGUCUGAUUAGCUAGUUGGUAAGGUAAUGGCUUACCAAGGCGACGAUCAGUAGCCGACCUGAGAGGGUGAUCGGCCACAUUGGAACUGAGACACGGUCCAAACUCCUACGGGAGGCAGCAGUGGGGAAUAUUGCACAAUGGGCGAAAGCCUGAUGCAAGCAACGCCGCGUGAGUGAUGAAGGCCUUCGGGUCGUAAAACUCUGUCCUCAAGGAAGAUAAUGACGGUACUUGAGGAGGAAGCCCCGGCUAACUACGUGCCAGCAGCUGC
rnacentral:rRNA from 1 species